CUACAUUCUGGUUGAUCCCGCCGGACCUGACUGCUAUCGGAUUGGUACUAAGCCAUGCGAGUCAUUGUAGCAAUACAAGGCGGACGGCUCAGUAACACGUAGUCAACCUAACUCGUGGACGUGGAUAACCUCGGGAAACUGAGAAUAAAACACGAUAGAUCAUAGUGCCUGGAAUGGCUUAUGGUCCAAACAGUUUACUGCCAUGGGAUGGGACUGCGGCCUAUCAGCUUGUUGGUGAGGUAAUGGCCCACCAAGGCGAUUACAGGUACGGGCUCUGAGAGGAGAAGCCCGGAGAUGGGUACUGAGACACGGACCCAGGCCCUAUGGGGCGCAGCAGGCGAGAAACCUUAGCAAUGUGCGAAAGCACGACUGGGUCAGUCCGAGUGAUUCCUGAUAAAGGAGUCUUUUGCUUGUCCUAAAAGCACAAGUGAAUAAGGGGUGGGCAAGUCUGGUGUCAGCCGCCGCGGUAAUACCAGCACCUCGAGUGGUUAGGCCGUUUAUUGGGCCUAAAGCAUCCGUAGCCGGCUCUGCAAGUCUUCGGUUAAAUCCACCUGCUUAACAGAUGGGCCGCUGGAGAUACUACAGAGCUAGGGAGUGGGAGAGGCAGACGGUAUUCAGUGCGUAGGGGUAAAUCCUCUGAUCAUUGA
rnacentral:rRNA from 1 species